UGUUAAAAGUUUCAUCAAUUUCUAUUGUUAAAGACUGGCAUGACUGACGAAAUAAUCAAACAGUUACAUGUGGCGAGCCACAUGUACCUCAUGCUGACGUAUAAUGAUCAGUUUUUAAUAGUAGAAAUGGAUAGAAUUUUUAACA
rfam:Gossypium hirsutum cultivar TM-1 chromosome 10, whole genome shotgun sequence